UACUCUCACACUUCCGAUUGUUUGGAUCGGGAGCGGUGGACUUGGGUGUUGCUGCUUUACUGUGGCUCACCUCAAAUGCAGUAGUGCACCUUUCGGUUGGACAUAGUACGGCGUGAUAAGUGUCUUCGCCGGCACCUCCUCACAGAGGGUGGCCGAUCGGGAGCUCUGUGCUUCCAACCGUCUUCGGACAACGACUGACA
rnacentral:misc_RNA from 1 species